GAUGAAGAACGUAGCGAAAUGCGAUAAGUAGUGUGAAUUGCAGAAUUCAGUGAAUCAUCGAAUCUUUGAACGCACAUUGCGCCCCUUGGUAUUCCAUGGGGCAUGCCUCUUCGAGCGUCAUUUGUACCUUCAAGCUCUGCUUGGUGUUGGGUGUUUGUCUCGCCUCUGCGUGUAGACUCGCCUCAAAACAAUUGGCAGCCGGCGUAUUGAUUUCGGAGCGCAGUACAUCUCGCGCUUUGCACUCAUAACGACGACGUCCAAAAGUACAUUUUUACACUCUUGACCUCGGAUCAGGUAGGGAUACCCGCUGAACUUAAGCAUAUCAAUAAGCGGAGGA
rnacentral:misc_RNA from 1 species